GAUGAAGAACGCAGCGAAAUGCGAUAAGUAAUGUGAAUUGCAGAAUUCAGUGAAUCAUCGAAUCUUUGAACGCACAUUGCGCCCGCCAGUAUUCUGGCGGGCAUGCCUGUCCGAGCGUCAUUUCAACCCUCGAACCCCUCCGGGGGGUCGGCGUUGGGGAUCGGCCCUUUCACCGGGUGCCGGCCCCUAAAUACAGUGGCGGUCUCGCCGCAGCCUCUCAUGCGCAGUAGUUUGCACACUCGCACCGGGAGCGCGGCGCGUCCACGUCCGUAAAACACCCCAACUUCUGAAAUGUUGACCUCGGAUCAGGUAGGAAUACCCGCUGAACUUAAACAUAUCAAUAAGCGGAGGA
rnacentral:misc_RNA from 1 species